UAGAACGACCAAUCGAGAGCUGCC
rnacentral:siRNA from 1 species